UACGAAGGGGGCUAGCGUUGUUCGGAAUUACUGGGCGAAAAGCGCACGUAGGCGGACUGCCAAGUCAGGGGUGAAAUCCCGGGGCUCAACCUCGGAAAUGCCUCUGAUACUGUCAGUCUAGAGUCCGGAAGAGGUGGGUGGAAUUCCUAGUGUAGAGGUGAAAUUCGCAGAUAUUAGGAAGAACACCGGUGGCGAAGGCGGCCCACUGGUCCGGAACUGACGCUGAGGUGCGAAAGCGUGGGGAGCAAACAGG
rnacentral:rRNA from 1 species